rnacentral:tRNA from 1 species
GUCCCGUUCGUCUAGAGGCCUAGGACACCGCCCUUUCACGGCGGUAACAGGGGGUCGACUCCCCCACGGGAUACCA